ensembl:rRNA 5S_rRNA 5S ribosomal RNA
GUCUACAGCCGUGCCACCCUGAACAAGCCUAAUCUCAUUUGAUCUCGGAAGCUACGCAGGGUCGUGCCUGGUUAGUACCUGGAUGGGAGACCACCAAGGAAGACCAGGUGCCGUAGGCC